GAUGAAGAACGUAGCGAAAUGCGAUAAGUAGUGUGAAUUGCAGAAUUCAGUGAAUCAUCGAAUCUUUGAACGCACAUUGCGCCCCUUGGUAUUCCAUGGGGCAUGCCUGUUCGAGCGUCAUUUGUACCUUCAAGCUCUGCUUGGUGUUGGGUGUUUGUCUCGCCUCUGCGUGUAGACUCGCCUCAAAACAAUUGGCAGCCGGCGUAUUGAUUUCGGAGCGCAGUACAUCUCGCGCUUUGCACUCAUAACGACGACGUCCAAAAGUACAUUUUUACACUCUUGACCUCGGAUCAGGUAGGGAUACACGCUGAACUUAAGCAUGUCAAUAAGCGGAGGA
rnacentral:misc_RNA from 1 species